rnacentral:rRNA from 1 species
UACGUAGGGUCCGAGCGUUGUCCGGAAUUAUUGGGCGUAAAGAGCUCGUAGGCGGUUUGUCGCGUCUGCUGUGAAAUCCCGAGGCUCAACCUCGGGCCUGCAGUGGGUACGGGCAGACUGGAGUGCGGUAGGGGAGAAUGGAAUUCCUGGUGUAGCGGUGGAAUGCGCAGAUAUCAGGAGGAACACCGAUGGCGAAGGCAGUUCUCUGGGCCGUAACUGACGCUGAGGAGCGAAAGCGUGGGAGC